rnacentral:rRNA from 1 species
AAAAACUGAGGUGGUAUACGAUGGUUCCGCGUCUGAUUAGCUAGUUGGUGGGGUAAAAGCCUACCAAGGCAACGAUCAGUAGCCGGCCUGAGAGAGUGAACGGCCACAUUGGGACUGAGACACGGCCCAAACUCCUACGGGAGGCAGCAGUGGGGAAUAUUGCACAAUGGGGGAAACCCUGAUGCAGCGACGCCGCGUGAGUGAAGAAGUAUUUCGGUAUGUAAAGCUCUAUCAGCAGGGAAGAAAUACUGACCAUAGGGUCAGCAGACGGUACUUGACUAAGAAGCCCCGGCUAACUACGUGCCAGCAGCCGCGGUAAUACGUAGGGGGCAAGCGUUAUCCGGAUUUACUGGGUGUAAAGGGAGCGUAGACGGCAGCGCAAGUCUGAAGUGAAAUGCCAGGGCUUAACCCUGGAACUGCUUUGGAAACUGUGCAGCUAGAGUGCAGGAGAGGUAAGUGGAAUUUCUAGUGUAGCGGUGAAAUGCGUAGAUAUUAGGAGGAACACCAGUGGCGAAGGCGGCUUACUGGACUGUAACUGACGUUGAGGCUCGAAAGCGUGGGGAGCAAACAGGAUUAGAUACCCUGGUAGUCCACGCUGUAAACGAUGAUUACUAGGUGUUGGGGGACCAAGGUUCUUCG